GAGUUUGUUGGGGACAUGUCCCCAUCAUGUUUAUACUGGCCCUAGGUUCAAACAAUGUAGGCGCAGCCCUGAAAUGAUUUUCUCACGGACACUGCUCGCGAGAGUUGCCUCCAGUCGUCUUUGAAGAGGGAGGAGUCCCCACACUUCACUCCACCACAUGCGCGACCUUUCCGAUCGUCGGACUGUGGCGCAAACUCUUCUCUGGUCGACCCAGCAACGUUGUAAGAGCCAGCGUGGCCCACGUGGAGGAUCGCCGUUGGACCACGAAUCGGUGGUGCUGGAAACUCACUCUGAGAACCGCUGGGCGAGACGGGACUUGGCAGAGCGUUACGAGUUGCGCUUCCGAACUCUUGCCCGGGAAAUGGAAUCGGAGGCAGUGAUCGACAAGUUGCAGUCGAGAUUCAUUUCUGUUGGGAGCGCUUCCGAACUCUUGCCCGGGAAAUGGAAUCGGAGGCAGUGAUCGACAAGUUGCUGUCGAGAUUCAUUUCUGUUGCGAGUCGGUCUUCAAUAACUGCCCGAGGUGGACCCAACUCGGACGUGUGGCGAGAACGGACGAGGGAACGUGCCCCACGGAGCGAUGAGAUCGCUUGGGCCAGAGGAGCGGGGUGGAUUGUUGCGUUGUGUGGACCGUGAGAGAUGCCCAUGACGUGCGGACAGUUUUAUCCAAGAAGUGGCUGAUGCUGCUGCUUCUGAUGAUCACCAUCAUGACCAAUUCACCACCACUAACCGAAAUCAAAUAUUUUGUCACGAUGUAUGUUUCACUUUUGUCGCACCUUAUGGAGCCAACCGUGCGAAUCAGAGGUGCGGAACGUACCGUACACCAUUUGCACAAAUAUUUCUCCACAUCCUCACUCAUGUGUACAUAUGAAUGGCAUUUCAUCUGUGUAGAUGCCACUUCGUACCUGCGCGGUCUUCAGUGUUGAGCAGUCUGCAGAACACGUGCUGCUGUAAACACUUCAUGUCACCUUUCAUUCUCAUUCAGCUACCUGCCCUUGCCUCUCCUAUCCCACCCCCGUUUUUGGCUGCCCAUCAGCUCCUCUCAAACGCUUCAAAACAAAUUGUACACGAGCCACGGCCGAGAGGGCAGGCGUCGCUGCAGACAGAAUGAACACCACCGCCCCACGGCACACUCGUCGUCAGCUCUCAGCGCAUCGCGCCACUCCAACUCGGCGAGACGCGUUAACACGGAGCCCAUGAAUGCGCGCUUUUUAAUUAUAAUCCAAAAAUGGAUGUAGCGAUUAAACGAGUGCAUGCCAAACGUUGGGAAAUUGCUCACGCAUCCUCGUGUGCGCAAGACGCGUUUUGUAUGCUGCACUGUUUGUUCCUGGAAGAUAUCGAACUGACUUAAGAUGCGAAUAUGUUAACAUUGUCAAGAAACUGGUCGGCACUUAUCAGCACAUUGGUACGUAACCAACUGUGGCAAAGCAAUCAGUGAGGAUAAUUCAUAUUUGGCGGAAAUAGCCAAAGUUUCCGCGACUAGAGUAAAAUCCUCAUCUGCAAGGAGGAGGGAUUAUCACAACUAGGCCACUGUCAAACUGCUUUGCGCUCGCAGUUUUUUUCACAUUUAAAUGAAUGCGAACUCACAGUGAGCUCAAUGUUGGCUUCCCGCCCGACUGCCUGCUGGUAAUGUGCUUGAACAAAAAAAAGUUUCUGUCUUGUGUUGCUGGGAGGGAAAGAAGAGAAUUCACAGGCAGCAGCGUGGCGUUGCGAUGAAGCACAUUUAAUGAGGCGGCGCGUUAGAGCAGUUAGCUAUGACGAGGUGUGGUUUGACCUACAGCCUUUCGAACGUAGCCAAUUUGUGAUGCAAUUAUGUUGGUAUUGUUAAUGAGAAGAAAAACAUUGCACUCGACGCUAUGUAUUCUUGCUAUUGCGGAUGUAGCGAAUUCCUACCGCCAAGUGGCGGAGAAUGGUAUUGGAGUCGUUGGAGACUGGCUUUCGCGACCAAUAUUGACUCACUAUUGAAUUCUAGUCACAUAGCAAUAGUAAAAUGACAAUGUGUGUCGUAUACCCUCCUCCAGCCGACACGGCGAAAUUAAUAAAGUUGGACACGUGCACAAACGCGCCGAUGUUGUAUUGCUUCAGCACAUGGGUUUAUUGGCGAGCAAUGCACAACUUUUCACAAGUAGCAUCAUCAGGCAAUUGUCAGAAUUGUGGAAAUCUUCUCAAGUCCUGGACAUGAAAUAGGUGGCGUGAGGCCACCGACAUGCCCGCACAGGUGAGCAUGGGGAGCAGGAAGCGAUGCCUAUAGGUUCAUGUGUUUGCGUAAAUUAUAAAAAAAAAAUUCCGGGAGAUUACAAUUGAUAGAUAUACUGAUAUGAAGGUAGGUGUACUGACGUGGUGAUACAUGUUAGACAUGGUUAA